rnacentral:rRNA from 1 species
UACUGGGCGUAAAGCGUGCGCAGGCGGUUCGCUAAGACCGAUGUGAAAUCCCCGGGCUCAACCUGGGAACUGCAUUGGUGACUGGCGGGCUAGAGUAUGGCAGAGGGGGGUAGAAUUCCACGUGUAGCAGUGAAAUGCGUAGAGAUGUGGAGGAAUACCGAUGGCGAAGGCAGCCCCCUGGGCCAAUACUGACGCUCAUGCACGAAAGCGUGGGGAGCAAACAGGAUUAGAUACCCUGGUAGUCCACGCCCUAAACGAUGUCAACUAGUUGUUGGGGAUUCAUUUCCUUAGUAACGUAGCUAACGCGUGAAGUUGACCGCCUGGGGAGUACGGUCGCAAGAUUAAAACUCAAAGGAAUUGACGGGGACCCGCACAAGCGGUGGAUGAUGUGGAUUAAUUCGAUGCAACGCGAAAAACCUUACCUACCCUUGACAUGGUCGGAAUCCUGAAGAGAUUCGGGAGUGCUCGAAAGAGAACCGGCGCACAGGUGCUGCAUGGCUGUCGUCAGCU